GUGUGUGUGUGUGUGUGUGUGUGCGUGCGUGUUUGUGGUGUAGCGCUGGGUGUGAGGGUGUGUCCUUCCCCCAAGCCACAGCCAGGUGUAAAAACUCUCUGAACCAAAAACAUAAAAAGUUUAUUUCUAUCAAGGCAGGCAGGCAAUGCUUUUACAGGCCACUGACAAGAACUGAUUUUUUUUUUCUCUUCAAUCACCAACACGCCUUUGUGUGUACAUUUGUCUUCCUGUGAGUGUGUGUGUACGUGUGUUCAUGUGCACAUGACAGACGGUGUCUGUUUACGUAUAAGUGUGCUUUCAGUCUGUCUCCUGAGCCAGUGAGACCUUCCUGUCUUGCCAAACGAGCUGUUUUGGAAACCACAGGGAAACUGCAUAUGUCCAUAUAAUGUGUGUGUGUGUAUAGGCCUAUUUGCCUUCAAUUAGCCGCUUGGACUGCAAUGAGGCUCAGAGUACAGUGGAAACCCCUUUUAUAUUGUCAGGAAGGGAGUUUCUCUAUUUCUGGCCCUUCUCACCUCAUUGGAGUCUGUAAAUGCUGAGAAACCAUUUGGAGUUACUACGUCUUACCAUUUGACAUGUGAUUGUGAUGCUAAAUUAUGUAAUGAUAUAAAGCAGUCCUGGGUAUUCAGUCAUCGAGCAUUUAUGACUCGGUCUAUACCCUUGCGAAUUAAUAGAAACGUUAGACGAGUGUCGGGAAGGGGAGGUUUUCUCAUUCCACCGCACGGUUUUGCACUGAAGAGAACCAUCUGGAAAACAACGUCCUUCCUGGAUUUUCAAACAGGUCGCUUUUGUGAAAAAUAGGAUGAGGGAAAAAAAAAAAAUCACAAAUCGGCAAGCAUUACGGCAUAUUUUGAUGUUCCUUUUGGAGUUUGUGAGUUUUUAUUGACUUGGCUCGAGAGCACGGUCUUUCCUCUCUUUAAUGGUCAGUCUGGGCCCAAAGGAGCGGCCAUUUUAAAACCUCAGCUCUCUAACUGAGACUUUAUAUUGCGGAAACAUCACAUUAAAAAAAAAUGUUGCUCGUGCUUGGUUGAUGUCGGUGUCCCAGAUAGCAAAAGAUUGAGGUGCCACUCUCGGGCAACCGGUUUGAAGUCGCUCUGAGUGGAAACAAAUGGUUGCAAAGCCGGUGAGGGAGAUGAUUAAUUCCAGAGAAAGCGAAGCCCUGUGUGAUGACGACUCAGACGAACGGGGCAAAGACUUGGCGCGGCAUCGCCUGUUUGUAACUCGCUGUAAAAUUGGGAGGCUUUAGCAAGAUUUGACUCCGUCUGCACCCCACUUAUGUUUACCUCCAGGAAACGAUGAUCCGCUCGCCGUUUCCCGAGGCGUCUGCGCUGCAGUAACAAUAACAAUAUAAAAUUCAACUUGGAUAGUAAUGGCCUGUCAAUCAAAAUGGAUUUGAUUUGAAGGCGCACAAGUGAUGAUGCCUAGUGGACAGGGGAUAGCCGGGAUCACGGGGGUGACCCAGGAGGAAGGGCAGCUUUGACCAGCUUUAGCUUGGCUUUCAGCUUCAAUAACAGCCCCCCGAAAAAGAUUGGGUAGAAAAUAAGCCCCGCCCCUCCCCUGUGAAGCUGUGUCUCCUGCCGAUCCAAAAUCAGAAAGCAUGCAGGCCUGUAGAGAAGCAGCUGGGUGUGACGGGCUUUUCUCUGCAUCUUCACCCGCUGUACCCAUCCCCUUUUGCCUGCGUCCCCCCCCCUGGGGGAGGAGGAGGAGGAGGAGGAGGAGAUCUAUAUGGAUAGAAAUACGUUCCAGCCCCUUUUCCCUUCAACUUUACUGUGCUUGCGGUGCGAUUUGCGCACUUUCUCACUUUAGCUGGGUCAUGAAACAACAGGCCUCUCACUUCUUGUUUUCCCCGCAAAUUCCUCUUGGUCAAAGUGAAGAAAUGUGAUCCCACCUGCCUCCUCCUUCUCCCCAUAGGACAGCAACCCCGUGCUCGCCCCGGGGACUGUUUACCGAUGAAGGAGGGAGGGGUGAAGAGUGGAUGGUUGAGGGGGCGGGGGGGGCACGUUUGUUUCGUUUUGGCCAUCAACAAUGGACCUCAGUCAGUGCUGAUGGAUUACUCCAACAUAUGGUACCCACCUGUCUUUUCCCUCCCUAUUCUAGACUUCACUCUGUUUAGAUUACUUUGCUUCUCUCUCCCUGUCUCACCCAAACACACUGGAUGGAUUAGAGACCAGAUUCAUCACACACACACACACAUGUGCACACGCACGCACACACACGUGCACGUGCACACCCAGACCUGUUUGCUUUAGCAACCUGAACCAGACGCACACGGACACCACACGCACACACAGUCUAAUGGAGUGAAAAAGAGAUCAACCGAGGAUUUUUCUCGUGCGUGAUGGCUAAAAUAUUCACAUAAACGCUAUAAAGUAGCAAUGUCAAAUUCUUGGCCGCACAGGUUGUUAUAGUUCACAAAAGGUAACAAAAUAACUAACAGUAAAAUUUGAAAUAAUAGUUUUGUUACUAUUGCUAAAAUGCUAAAACAUAAAAAAAAAAAAA